rnacentral:tmRNA from 1 species
GCUAAACUUAUAGUUGCCAACGACAACUAUGCGGAAGCUCGUCUCGCUGCUUAAUGCGGCGCGAACGCUUCAAAUCAAGCCCUAGAGGUUCGCACUUCUAGGCGGGGUUCGGAGGUACCUGGCAACAGAAACCUCCACC